CUGGGCUGGGCUGGGGUGUGACCCCGUGUAUAUAAGGAGCUGCUAGGAGCCCUUCACCCCUGCAGUGUGACCUUUCCCCACCAGGCACAGAGCAGGUUGCUCUCAGCAAGUGACAUCAGAGACAUGAGUCCCACCUGGGUCCAGCACCUCACUGUCCUGGGGACGCUGCUGGGAGCCUGCUACACCAGUACGGAUAUGGCAGGUCCCUGGUGCUACGAAGACGCAGAAUGCGGUAAGAGAACCCAUCCAUUCCCUGCAACACAGAUAUCCACCCUCCGAUCUCACCCUGUGCAGGAGUUAAUUACGGUUUUCCCACAUUUGGAUGGGUGGGGAAACUGAGGCACAGAGAAGGGCAGGGUCAGCGUUCUAGUUUUAGGGAUAGAACCCCGGAGUCCUCGCUCCCAACCUCACCCCCUGCUCUAAACCACAAGACUCUAACCUCAUCCCAGAGCCUUGUGUUAAACCCAGGAGCCUCCCUUGCUCUAACUCACUAGAUGGCAUUCACCAACCAUAGUUGCAGAGGGAACCCAGGAGUCCUGACUCCCAGUUCCCCCACUUUAUCCCACCAGAGCCCACUCCCC